UAACGCGUAGGUAACCUGCCUUGUAGCGGGGGAUAACUAUUGGAAACGAUAGCUAAUACCGCAUAACAAUGGAUGACCCAUGUCAUUUAUUUGAAAGGGGCAAAUGCUCCACUACAAGAUGGACCUGCGCUGUAUUAGCUAGUAGGUGAGGUAACGGCUCACCUAGGCGACGAUACAUAGCCGACCUGAGAGGGUUAUCGGCCACACUGGGACUGAGACACGGCCCAG
rnacentral:rRNA from 1 species